AACGAACGCUGGCGGCAGGCUUAACACAUGCAAGUCGAGCGCCCCGCAAGGGGAGCGGCAGACGGGUGAGUAACGCGUGGGAAUCUACCCAUCUCUACGGAAUAACGCAUGGAAACGUGUGCUAAUACCGUAUACGUCCUUCGGGAGAAAGAUUUAUCGGAGAUGGAGGAGCCCGCGUUGGAUUAGCUAGUUGGUGGGGUAAAGGCAUACCAAGGCGACGAUCCAUAGCUGGUCUGAGAGGAUGAUCAGCCACACUGGGACUGAGACACGACCCGGACUCCUACGGGAGGCAACAGUGGGGAAUAUUGGACAAUGGGCGCAAGCCUGCUCCAGCCGUGCCGCGUGAGUGAUGAAGUCCAGAGAGUUGUAAAGCUCUUUCACCGGUGAAGAUAAUGACGGUAACCGGAGAAGAAGCCCCGGCUAACUUCGUGCCAGCCGCCGCCGUAACAC
rnacentral:rRNA from 1 species